rnacentral:rRNA from 1 species
AACGAACGCUGGCGGCAUGCCUAACACAUGCAAGUCGAACGAGACCUUCGGGUCUAGUGGCGCACGGGUGCGUAACGCGUGGGAACCUGCCCUUAGGUUCGGAAUAACUCCCCGAAAGGGGUGCUAAUACCGGAUAAUGUCUUCGGACCAAAGAUUUAUCGCCUUUGGAUGGGCACGCGUUGGAUUAGCUAGUUGGUAGGGUAAAAGCCUGCCAAGGCGACGAUCCGUAGCUGGUCUGAGAGGAUGAUCAGCCACACUGGGACUGAGACACGGCCUAGACUCCUACGGGAGGCAGCAGUGGAGAAUAUUGGACAAUGGGCGAAAGCCUGAUCCAGCAAUGCCGCGUGAGUGAUGAAUGCCUUAGGGUUGUAAAGCUCUUUUACCCGGGAUGAUAAUGACGGUACCGGGAGAAUAAGCGCCGGCUAACUCCGUG